GACGAACGCUGUUGGCGUGCUUAACACAUGCAAGUCGAACGGAAAGGCCCUGCUUUUGUGGGGUGCUCGAGUGGCGAACGGGUGAGUAACACGUGAGUAACCUGCCCUUGACUUUGGGAUAACUUCAGGAAACUGGGGCUAAUACCGGAUAGGAGCUCCUGCUGCAUGGUGGGGGUUGGAAAGUUUCGGCGGUUGGGGAUGGACUCGCGGCUUAUCAGCUUGUUGGUGGGGUAGUGGCUUACCAAGGCUUUGACGGGUAGCCGGCCUGAGAGGGUGACCGGCCACAUUGGGACUGAGAUACGGCCCAGACUCCUACGGGAGGCAGCAGUGGGGAAUAUUGCACAAUGGGCGGAAGCCUGAUGCAGCAACGCCGCGUGCGGGAUGACGGCCUUCGGGUUGUAAACCGCUUUCGCCUGUGACGAAGCGUGAGUGACGGUAAUGGGUAAAGAAGCACCGGCUAACUACGUGCCAGCAGCCGCGGUGAUACGUAGGGUGCGAGCGUUGUCCGGAUUUAUUGGGCGUAAAGGGCUCGUAGGUGGUUGAUCGCGUCGGAAGUGUAAUCUUGGGGCUUAACCCUGAGCGUGCUUUCGAUACGGGUUGACUUGAGGAAGGUAGGGGAGAAUGGAAUUCCCUGGUGGAGCGGUGGAAUGCGCAGAUAUCAGGAGGAACACCAGUGGCGAAGGCGGUUCUCUGGGCCUUUCCUGACGCUGAGGAGCGAAAGCGUGGGGAGCGAACAGGCUUAGAUACCCUGGUAGUCCACGCUGUAAACGGUGGGUACUAGGUGUGGGGUCCAUUCCACGGGUUCCGUGCCGUAGCUAACGCUUUAAGUACCCCGCCUGGGGAGUACGGCCGCAAGGCUAAAACUCAAAGGAAUUGACGGGGCCCCGCACAAGCGGCGGAGCAUGCGGAUUAAUUCGAUGCAACGCGUAGAACCUUACCUGGGUUUGACAUGGAUCGGGAGUGCCCAGAGAUGGGUGUGCCUCUUUUGGGGUCGGUUCACAGGUGGUGCAUGCCUGUCGUCAGCUCGUGUCGUGAGAUGUUGGGUUAAGUCCCGCAACGAGCGCAACCCUUGUUCACUGUUGCCAGCACGUUAUGGUGGGGACUCAGUGGAGACCGCCGGGGUCAACUCGGAGGAAGGUGGGGAUGACGUCAAGUCAUCAUGCCCCUUAUGUCCAGGGCUUCACGCAUGCUACAAUGGCUGGUACAGAGAGUGGCGAGCCUGUGAGGGUGAGCGAAUCUCGGAAAGCCGGUCUCAGUUCGGAUUGGGGUCUGCAACUCGACCUCAUGAAGUCGGAGUCGCUAGUAAUCGCAGAUCAGCAACGCUGCGGUGAAUACGUUCCCGGGGCU
rnacentral:rRNA from 1 species